rnacentral:lncRNA from 10 species
GGUGAGCAGGCACUUAAUACUCUGGAAGUUUAAAUGACAUUUAUGACUUAAAAAAAAACUUUACUUUUUGUUGCAGUACCUCUUUUUAUGCAGAAUUGGCCCAUAGAGACUUAAACAUUUUAUAGAGAUGGAGGUAAAGAACGCUUCUGAAAUGAGAGAGAUAAGAUCUCUCCUCUUUUGAAGUUGAAUAUGGUUUUGACUGAAGUAUAUCAGCAGGACAAGGCCUUGAGGGCCCUAUCAGGAUAACCCACAGCAAGGGAAGGUGGGGAAGGGGCUGUGGCCCCUGACCAGGGCUCACUAGCAGUCUUGGAUGUUCCCGUUUGGAGUGCUGGUUCAGCUCAUCAUGUGUCUGAGACCAGAACACAUCCCCAACUCCCCAGGAAUAAAGGGACAAGGUAUAAAACAGCAUGAAGAAAAGCAUCCAACUCUUCUUCAUCUGGAUGCCUCACAGCUUCAAGAGCCUAUGUAGCAUCCACUCUUACCCUCCUAGAACCCUGAGACAUUUAUGUGAAAAAGUCUGGGAUAGCCUUCUUGAGAAUGAGAGACGACAUGAGAAGAGAGGCCCAGCCAACUUCUUGCAUCGAUUGCCAGUGAGUGAGAAUGUCUUCGACCAUAUAAUCCCAGUCAAGCCACUGGAAGAAUGCAACCACCUAGCUGGGGAAGAGCUUCUGGAGGAGACAGGAUGCUGUGAGCUCUCUGGAAGACAGAAAGAUUUUGACAUAAAUAACUCUAAAAUCAGGGAAAGAGAAGUGAGAUCCUCAUGGUAAUCUUGAGAAUGACCCAACCAGAGAAUCUAGUGCCUUGGAGCCAAGGGAGUUUUUGAAAUGGAAUUAGCAGAAAGAAAUCUGGGGGGAAUGGGGAAGGCCCAGAAGAUUUUGAUCCUUACAGCAUGUAUUUCCUCAUAUGCUUUCCCUCCUUUCUCCCACAAUUUAGCAUAACCCUAUUCAGGGUGGAUCACUUUGAAACAUAGGGAGGUAGAUUCUUUCCCUUCCUUUUCACCAAUAGAUCAGAGAUGUCUGGAGGUAGCUGCCUUGGGGAAUGUGUGGCCUUGUUUUGACAAAUGUGGACCUCUUAGUUCAUAGAGGAUGAUGUUAAUAAUUGAAAACAAAUAAAUAACAAAACCUCCAAAUGUAAAC